rnacentral:rRNA from 1 species
UACGUAGGCAGCAAGCGUUGUUCGGAGUUACUGGGCGUAAAGGGUGCGUAGGCGGUCCUAUAAGUAUGGUGUGAAAUCUCCCGGCUUAACUGGGAGGGUGCGCUAUAGACUGUGGGACUAGAGUGUGGGAGAGGAAAGUGGAAUUCCUGGUGUAGCGGUGAAAUGCGCAGAUAUCAGGAGGAACACCGGUGGCGAAGGCGGGGUCUCUGGGGCCGACACUGACACUGAGAGACGAAAGCUAGGGGAGCGAAUGGG